rnacentral:rRNA from 1 species
GGUAGCCGGCCUGAGAGGGUGUCCGGCCACACUGGGACUGAGANACGGCCCAGACUCCUACGGGAGGCAGCAGUGGGGAAUAUUGCACAAUGGGCGCAAGCCUGAUGCAGCGACGCCGCGUGRGGGAUGACGGCCUUCGGGUUGUAAACCUCUUUCAAUAGGGAMGAAGCGMAAGUGACGGUACCURYAGAARAAGCACCGGCYAACUACGUGCCAGCAGCCGCGGUAAUACGUAGGGUGCGAGCGUUGUCCGGAAUUAYUGGGCGUAAAGAGCUCGUAGGUGGUUUGUCGCGUUGNCCGUGAAAUUUCACAACUCAAUUGUGAGCGUGCGGGCGAUACGGGCAGACUGGAGUACUGCAGGGGARAUGGGAAUUCCU